rnacentral:rRNA from 1 species
UACGUAGGGCGCAAGCGUUGUCCGGAAUUAUUGGGCGUAAAGAGCUCGUAGGCAGCUUGUCACGUCGGGUGUGAAAGCCCGGGGCUUAACCCCGGGUCUGCAUUCGAUACGGGCUAGCUAGAGUGUGGUAGGGGAGAUCGGAAUUCCUGGUGUAGCGGUGAAAUGCGCAGAUAUCAGGAGGAACACCGGUGGCGAAGGCGGGUCUCUGGGCCGAUACUGACGCUGAGGAGCGAAAGCGUGGGGAGCGAACAGG